rnacentral:rRNA from 1 species
CCUGCCCAGUGAAAAUUUUUAAACGGCCGCGGUAUCCCAACCGUGCAAAGGUAGCGCAAUCACUUGUCCCCUAAAUAGGGACUAGUAUGAACGGUUUAAUGAGGACCAAUCUGUCUCCUGCAGGAGAUCCGUAAAACUGAACCCCCAGUCCAAAUGCUGGGCUGACCCUAUAAGACGAGAAGACCCUGUGGAGCUUUCAAACAAACUACAUAUUUCCCAUUCUGUAGAAAAGUUUUUAGUUGGGGCGACUCUGGAGACAAAAAAAACCCCCAGGCAUAAAGGAGCACCACUCCUAAACCCCCGGCCAACAAGCCACACACCUGACCCGGUCCCACCGACAAACGAACCAAGUUACCCCAGGGAUAACAGCGCUAUUUUCUUUUAGAGUCCCUAUCAACAAGAAGGUUUACGACCUCGAUGUUGGAUCAGGACACCCAAAUGGUGCAGCCGCUAUUAAUGGUUCGUUUGUUCAACGAUUAACAGUCUUACGUGAU